GGUGAACGCUGGCGGCGUGCCUAACACAUGCAAGUCGAGCGGUGCAGUUUGAAGCUUCGGUGGAAAGCUGCAUAGCGGCGGACGGGUGAGGAAAACGUAGGGACGUGCCCCUUGGAGUUGGAUAGCCACGGGAAACUGUGGGUAAACCGACAUAGACUCGAGAGAGUAAAGGCCGAAAGGCGCCAAGGGAGCGGCCUGCGGCCCAUCAGGUAGUUGGUAGUGUAAAGGACUACCAAGCCGACGACGGGUAGCCGGUCUGAGAGGAUGGCCGGCCACAAGGGCACUGAGAGACGGGCCCUACUCCUACGGGAGGCAGCAGUGGGGGAUUUUGGACAAUGGGCGAAAAGCCUGAUCCAGCGACGCCGCGUGGAGGACGAAGCCCUUCGGGGUGUAAACUCCUUUUCUCAGGGAAAAAGGAUGAUGGUACCUGAGGAAUAAGCCCGGCUAACUAACGUG
rnacentral:rRNA from 1 species